rnacentral:rRNA from 1 species
AUACGGAGGGUGCAAGCGUUAAUCGGAAUUACUGGGCGUAAAGAGUACGUAGGUGGUUUAUUAAGUCAGAUGAGAAAGCCCCGGGCUUAACCUGGGAACUGCAUUUGAUACUGGCAAACUAGAGUAUGGUAGAGGCGGGUAGAAUUCCUAGUGUAGCGGUGAAAUGCGUAGAUAUUAGGAGGAAUACCAGUGGCGAAGGCGGCCCGCUGGACCAAUACUGACACUGAGGUACGAAAGCGUGGGUAGCGAACAGGAUUAGAUACCCUAGUAGUCC